ensembl:snRNA U6 U6 spliceosomal RNA
AUGCUCCAGCAGCAUAUACACUGAAAUUGGAACAAUACAGAGAAGAUUAGGACGGCCUCUGCACAGGGAUGACACACAAACACGUGAAGCGUUCAACAUUUUC